rnacentral:rRNA from 1 species
AACGAACGCUGGCGGCAGGCUUAACACAUGCAAGUCGAACGCGUGUAGCAAUACACGAGUGGCGCACGGGUGAGUAACGCGUGGAUAUCUGCCUUUUGGUUCGGAAUAACCCCGGGAAACUGGGGCUAAUACCGGAUGGUUCCUUCGGGAUAAAGAUUUAUCGCCAAAAGAUGAGUCCGCGUACGAUUAGCUAGUUGGUGAGGUAAUGGCUCACCAAGGCGACGAUCGUUAGCUGGUCUGAGAGGACGAUCAGCCACACUGGGACUGGGACACGGCCCAGACUCCUACGGGAGGCAGCAGUGGGGAAUAUUGGACAAUGGGGGCAACCCUGAUCCAGCCAUGCCGCGUGAGUGAUGAAGGCCUUCGGGUUGUAAAGCUCUUUUGGCGGGGACGAUGAUGACGGUACCCGCAGAAUAAGCCCCGGCUAACUUCGUGCCAGCCGCCGCGGUAAUAC